rnacentral:rRNA from 1 species
GUCCUUCGGGUACAAUUGAGACAGGUGGUGCAUGGUUGUCGUCAGCUCGUGUCGUGAGAUGUUGGGUUAAGUCCCGCAACGAGCGCAACCCUUGUGUUUUAGUUGCAAACAGGUCAAGCUGUGCACUCUAGACAGACUGCCGUGGACAACACGGAGGAAGGUGGGGAUGACGUCAAAUCAUCAUGCCCCUUAUGAUCUGGGCUACACACGUGCUACAAUGGCCGGUACAACGGGCAGCGAAGGAGCGAUCCGGAGCGAAUCCUAAAAAGCCGGUCCCAGUUCGGAUUGCAGGCUGAAACUCGCCUACAUGAAGUUGGAGUUGCUAGUAAUCGCGAAUCAGAAUGUCGCGGUGAAUGCGUUCCCGGGUCUU